CCUACGGGAGGCAGCAGUGAGGAAUAUUGGUCAAUGGGCGCGAGCCUGAACCAGCCAAGUAGCGUGAAGGAUGACUGCCCUACGGGUUGUAAACUUCUUUUAUAAAGGAAUAAAGUGAGGCACGUGUGCCUUUUUGUAUGUACUUUAUGAAUAAGGAUCGGCUAACUCCGUGCCAGCAGCCGCGGUAAUACGGAGGAUCCGAGCGUUAUCCGGAUUUAUUGGGUUUAAAGGGAGCGUAGAUGGGUUGUUAAGUCAGUUGUGAAAGUUUGCGGCUCAACCGUAAAAUUGCAAUUGAUACUGGCAGUCUUGAGUACCGGAGAGGUCAUCGGAAUUCCUUGUGUAGCGGUGAAAUGCGUAGAUAUAAGGAAGAACACCAGUGGCGAAGGCGGAUGACUGGACGGCAACUGACGGUGAGGCGCGAAAGCGUGGGGAGCAAACAGGAUUAGAUACCCCUGUAGUC
rnacentral:rRNA from 1 species